AUCAACUUUCGAUGGUAGGAUAGAGGCCUACCAUGGUGGUAACGGGUAACGGGGUGUUAGGGCACGACACCGGAGAGGGAGCCUGAGAAACGGCUACCACAUCCAAGGAUGGCAGCAGGCGCGCAAAUUACCCAAUCCCGACACGGGGAGGUAGUGACAAUAAAUAACAAUACGGGGUUCUUUCGGAUCUCGUAAUUGGAAUGAGUACAAUUUAAAUCUCUUAACGAGGAACAAUUGGAGGGCAAGUCUGGUGCCAGCAGCCGCGGUAAUUCCAGCUCCAAUAGCGUAUAUUAAAGUUGUUGCAGUUAAAAAGCUCGUAGUUGAAUUUCGGGGUUAGUAGGUUGGUCAUGCCUCUGGUAUGCACUGGUCUCACUGAUUCCUCCUUCCUGAUGAGCCGUAAUGCCAUUAAUUUGGUGUUGCGGGGAAUUUGGACUGUUACUUUGAAAAAAUUAGAGUGUUUAAAGCAAGCUAACGCUUGAAUACAUUAGCAUGGAAUAAUGAAAUAGGACGUUCGAUCCUAUUUUGUUGGUUUCUAGGAUUGACGUAAUGAUUAAUAGGGAUAGUUGGGGGCAUUAGUAUUCAAUUGUCAGAGGUGAAAUUCUUGGAUUUAUUGAAGACUAACUACUGCGAAAGCAUUUGCCAAGGAUGUUUUCAUUAAUCAAGAACGAAAGUUAGGGGAUCGAAGACGAUCAGAUACCGUCGUAGUCUUAACCAUAAACUAUGCCGACUAGGGAUCGGAUGAUGUUAAUUUUUUAAUGACUCAUUCGGCGCCUUACGGGAAACCAAAGUGUUUGGGUUC
rnacentral:rRNA from 1 species